rnacentral:rRNA from 1 species
GACGAACGCUGGCGGCGUGCUUAACACAUGCAAGUCGAACGGAAAGGCCCUGCUUUUGUGGGGUGCUCGCGUGGCGAACGGGUGAAUAACCCGUGAGUAACCUUCCCUUGACUUUGGGAUAACUUCAGGAAACUGGUGCUAAUACCGGCUAGGUGCUCCUGCUGCAUGGGGGGGGUUGGAAAGCAUGGUCGGUUGGGGAUGGACUCGCGGGUUAUCAGCUUGUUGGUGGGGUAGUGGCUUACCAAGGCUUUGACGGGUGGCCGGCAUGAGAGGGUGACCGGCCACAUUGGGACUGAGAUACGGCCCAGACUCCUACGGGAGGCAGCAGUGGGGAAUAUUGCACAAUGGGCGGAAGCGUGAUGCAGCAACGCCGCGUGCGGGAUGACGGCCUUCGGGUUGUAAACCGCUUUCGCCUGUGACGAAGCGUGAGUGACGGUAAUGGGUAAAGAAGCACCGGCUAACUACGUG